rnacentral:rRNA from 1 species
CCUACGGGUGGCAGCAGGGGGGAAUAUUGGGCAAUGGGCGCAAGCCUGACCCAGCAACGCCGCGGGAAGGAAGAAGGCGUUCGGGUGGUAAACGUCUUUUGACAGGGAAGAGCAGAAGACGGGACCUGUCGAAUAAGCCACGGCUAACUACGUGCCAGCAGCCGCGGUAAUACGUAGGUGGCAAGCGUUGUCCGGAUUUACUGGGUGUAAAGGGCGGGUAGCCGGGCUGACAAGUCAGAUGUGAAAUCCGGGGGCUCAACCCCCGAACUGCAUUUGAAACUGUUGGUCUUGAGUAUCGGAGAGGCAGGCGGCAUUCCUCUUGUAGCGGUGACAUGCGUAGAUAUUAGGAGGACCCCCAGUGGCGCAGGCGGCCUGCUGGACGACACCUGCCGGUGAGGCGCGACAGCGUGGGGCGCCCACAGGAUUAGAUACCCGGGUAGUC